AGAGGACAGAUGAGGAAACCAAGGCUUGGGAGAAGUGGAGCAUUCCCAUGGCACACAGUAGGUGUGACACAAGGCAGCUGACUCUGGCUUCCAGGCUCUUCCCACAGAUCUGCCGAGCUUCUGCCCUCCCAGCCCCACCUGCCAGGACUAGGUCCUCUCCACUGGCCCUGCAGCUGCGUUCUCUGCCUCCGCUCCGUGGACUGACGCCUCACACGAGCUCCCUGGCCUCUGGCUUCUGCCUCCCCAGGCCGUCUCCUGUGAACAGUCCAUCAGGCCUGGGAGGAAAGCAGGCUGAAACCAGUUCCCAGCAAAGCAGCAUUCGCCAGCAUUUACUUCAUACCUCCCUUUAAUCAACUCACUUUUCUCUAAAAGCUUUUAAAAA
rnacentral:lncRNA from 1 species